rnacentral:tRNA from 1 species
UUGGUAGAAGCCAAAUAGAGGCAUGUUACUGUUAAUAACAUAAUUGAAUUUUUCCUAUCAAG